AAUGAGCAAAAUAAACAAACAAAUGAUACCGGAUGCCACUCAAUGGUCUUACUCCAAUCUCACCAACAAAAAGCGGAUACCGGAUACCAAUAGAUGGAUUUACACCAAUCUCCUAAAACAAAAAUGGAUAUCAGAGGCCACUCAAUGGACUUACACUAAUCUCCUAAAACAAAAUGAAACUUGGAUACCGGAUGCCAAUCUGUCUGGACUUAUACCAAUCUCCAACAAAGGAAGCAAACACUUGGAUGUCAGAUGCCAAUCUAUCUGGGCUUACUCUAAUCUCCAACAUAUGAUCAUAGGAAUACAAAUGCCAAAUUACACGGACUUACA
rnacentral:lncRNA from 1 species